GAUCCGGGCCCGUACACAGACGCCGAACGAACAGCACCUCCUCUGUUCGCCCAAGGCUCAACAACAACGGAUACAUGUAUAAAGAAAUUAAACAAUUCCCAGGAUCACAUUUCAAUAUACAUGGCUUGCACGAAGACAAGCAACAACACAAGUGAUAGUAAGUCUAACUAAACAUGAAAUCCACUGUAAUUUAAAACUUUACAUAACUGAAAUAUUUAGUUAUUACAUGCUUUAUAUACAUUCAUUUACAUGUCUCUGUACAUCGAAAUAGAUGAUACAUGAACCCAAAAUGGUAUACCACUAGUACUCGGGUGUCCACUAGCUAGGCUGCUGGCUCUUGCCUCGAUCCUCGGCCACAAUACUCGCACUGGAACCUGUAUGGUUAGUGGUGUGAGAACUACAAGAAAGUUCCCAGUGGGUUCGGCCGCCGACCUCGCCGACUCACCCACUAGAUCUACUCAGGCAUAUGUAGACAAGAAAAGUAAACAGAUAGUAACCAACUAUAACAUGUAACUACUACAAUGCCUGCACAAAGCUGAAAGGAAGCAAUAUAGGAAAACUGUAAUUAUGCAUGUAUGCUUUUCACUAACUUUACCCAAUCUUUUGGUUAACCCUCUGGUUAACAGCUGGACAAGUACGUUAGUCCUGGGGCAAGUACGUUAGCCCAUAAAUUUACCCAAUUCAGUGGUUAACCCUUUGGUUAACAAUAACUCACCAUCGAAAUCCCUCACGGGCCCUAAGCUGCCUCCCGAUGGGACCGUCUGUCGGACAAGUACGUUAGUCCUGGGGCAAGUACGUUAGCCCAACAAGUGACUACUCCGGAGCUCACUGCCUGGGGGGAGCGACCACCACCAAGCUAAGAAAACAGACUAUGUGAGUAAGAUCUGAUUCCCCUUUAGAGGAUUCAACUGACAACAAUGUCACAAUUUAACUCUAACUAGUUCUUUAUACUAGUUUCAUAAUUGCAUUUCUCGAUGCUAACCAAAUCUCUAGUCAUGAUGUCACCAAGUUUACUAUUGUCUUGGUCCUUUACAGUUUCAUACAUUCAUAGGGUUCUAUGUCCACAUGCUAAUGUUCAUAUGUUCUUACUAUCAAUAAGAAUUCACACGUUCAAUAUCACUUACAUAAUGCCAAUGCCCAUACCCUAUAAUGUAUGAAUUCAGAAGUAAAUAUGCUCAAUGAAUAGCAUAGACAUAAAAGGUGAUUCAAAGACUUCGGAUAGCACCACCCACCUGUAGUGGUGUCCACAACUAGGAUCUCACGUCUCGGAAAGCGUCGACGACUAUCUCUCGCGACUCCGUGCAAAUAGGACUAGAGCGGUCUUCACCGUAAUUAGCGCGUCGCCGACCUGUCGGAAAGUCAAUUUAGACUUUCGAGCAUGUUCAAUUAUCAUUUACAUAAGACUAGGAGAGAUUAAACUAGAGUCAUCGCUCAUAUUUUACAAGUUAGCAUUUCAAUGCUACAGAAAGCGGCAACUAUAGCCGAAAACCUUCUUUUGGCGAUAUCUUUGCGUAGGUUCGUCGGAUUGCCGAACCGACUUCGCCAACGCGUUUCUUUUACCCUGAAUUUGGUUUAUACGCGGUCAAUUUCACUUUAGGAUUCUUAUUUUGCAAAAGUGCAUUGCCGGGGUCAGUUUUCUCAAAAAUACUAUUUCAAUGCAAUUUCACAAUUCAAUAGAGUAAUUCAACUCUUUAUUAGCCCAAGGUCCUCAAAUCAGUUAGUAAAAACUGUCUAAAUACUUCGAUUCAUCUUUCACUCUAUUUCAUUAUCUUUCUUUCUUGCUUUCUUUUCUUUUCUUUCCUUUCUUUUCUUUCCUUUCCUUUCUUUUCUUUCCUUUCCUUUCUUUUCUUUCUUUUCUUGCUUGCUGCCCCUGCAGGGCAGCAGCUGCUGCUGCCACUGCUGCUGCGCAUGCUGCUGCUGUUGCUGCUCCUCAGCUGCUACUCUAGCAGCUGCUGCUGCUGAUGCCACUGCUGCUGGCUGCUGCUGCUGAAGCUGCUGCUCAGCAGCUCCUGCUGAGCUGCUGCUGCUGCUGACUGCUGGCUGCUACAGCUGCUGCUGAUGCUAUUGCUGCUGCUACUCCAGCAGCUGCUGCUGCUGUCCACUGCUGCUGCUGCUAGCUGCUGAAGCUGCUGCUGCUGCUGAAGCUGCUGCUGCUGAAGCUACUGUUGCUGAAGCUGCUGGCAGCAGCUGGCUAAGCUGCUGCUGCUGCAGCAGGUUGCUUGUGCUGCUGCUGCUGCUGCUGAGCAAGCUGCUGCUGCUCGCUGCUAAGGCUGACAGCAGGGAGAAGGGAAGAAACAAAGCAAGGAGAGAGAGAGGAAAUAAAAUUCUCACCUUUCUUUUUCUUCUUCUUCUUCUUCUUCUUCUCUUUUCUCUUCUUUUCUUUUCUCUUCUCUCUCUACGUAUGGGCUGCAGAAGGGGGAUAAGGAUGGAGCUCCCCUGUUGGCAGGUUUAGUGGAAUUCCACUAAGCCAUCGCUAAUUACCAUUUUGCCCCUCGACUAAUCCGUUUAUCCGCGCGGAUCAAAUACCUUUCGCAGGCCCUUCCGAAAGUCCGAUUGAGCUCAAAUUUGGCAGGAAUGUUCGUUUUUACUUGACAAGUCCACUGAAAUUUUAACAUUUCAGUUUCGACCCCGUUUGGUCACUGCGAACUGUCCCGAACUGUAAUCUUUAUCCGAUAACUUUCAGAUGCUAUUUCUCUCUCUACAGGUGUUAGAAAAAUAUGAAACUUCAAAUCUAGCCUCAUAAUAAUGUUCCUGACAUCUCUGCGAAUUUUCAUAAUUUUCUGACGCUGUGCAUUUUCUGCUAAUUUUCUCAGUCCCAUUCUUUACAGAAAAUUUCAAAUCUUCUGUUUUCGCUCCGAUUUCACCCAAACACUUCCAAAAUACACCAAGGGACCUUCCCAAGCUACCAAUUUAAUUUGGAAAUAAUUCCUUUUCAUUUUGACAUUAUUUGAGCCGAAUUAGAAAUAGAAUCGGCUCCAAUUCCAAUACAUGGCCGUUUUGCACUACCACUUCGCACUGAGCUCUUCAAAACCCUUUGAAAACACACCCUUGGCUUUUCCAAAACUUCACAAUUGAUUCGGAGAUACUACAAUGUAUCCUUCCGCCUUACUUUAAUUCUUUUAAUCAAAGUUAGGGUCGGAAAUCCGAAAUUCUCUUUACUCUCUUUACAUUUCGUUUCGCGCCCAAUUUGCGCCGACACACUUAUUUCUCUUUGGAACUCAUUCCAACGCAUCACAAAUCCCUCGGGGAUGAUGUCCAACUAGCUCAAUCCUCACUUUGACCCUCUAGGUCAAAGUUGACAUCGCGACUCCAAGUUUCCAUAUGUUACAUUCUCCUCCCGUUAACAAAAGUUUCGUCCGCGAAACUUAGAUCAUUACCCCUUAUUGCUUAACGGAUGGAGAUAACUUUCCAAAUGCUAUUCCAAAGUUUCUCAAUUUCAUUCCAUACUAUACUGAUUUCUCCAAAUCAGUCUCUACGAACACUUUGUUCGCAUUUCCCAAUCUCAACUCGUCAUCGAUGCUUAUUUUAGCAAUUCUGAGUAAUUCAUCCAUAGGACCAAGCUUUUGCUUUCACGGUCUCUACUCAUAAUCUACUUGCAUAGAUCUACUACACUCGCUUUCAGUAUGAAUGAGUAAACCAGUACCACAAUUCGGUUCAUAAGUUACCGAUCCGAUACAGGCCGAUUGCCUAACCCAACCAUGAUACGACAUAAUGCCUCUCGCUCGCAAGCGUAGACCCAAUUAUCACGUAGCAAAGUUCUCAUUUGCGACAUCGCAUACCUGCUCCAACUGGGAGCAACCGAGACCCUAAACCACGUCAAGUCCUCGGGUUGGUUCGCUACACACUCUGAGUGUUCUCGAUCUCACGAUCUAACACGUGGCAUCCCACGUACUCGGGUUUAUGCUCGGACUACCGUCCUGACCAAAACUCUCUGCCCUACCCGUAGGUACCGGGCCGCUGCCUCUCGCAGCUGACUGCGCCUGCCCUAUGGGCCCAGGCUCCACAGUCUAAAAAGGGUCCAGGCACGGAUCGUCCCCAAGCACUACCCGCCAACGUCGUUUCACACGAAAUGCUCUACAGAGCUACAAGUAUCACUAUCGGCUCCUAAGCACCUAGUGCGAGCCACCAGCCCCGCGAGUGAUCCUUGGUACGCUUCACACUUAGCAACGCUCAAGUGCUACUGCCAACACACUCUCCUGGCUGAAUCAGAAUCCACAUUCUACGGACAGCUAUACUCAAGCGUCCUACACUAUCGCGUCUCUUGCCAGACAUCUCACGCUAGGCAAUUCAACCUAUGUCUCAAUUACGCAACCACAAUUCCUCAACUUAUUUGAGGUACAACUUAACUAACUCGCCAAAACCAGGCGAUCAUCUAACCAUGCCACAACAGUGACGCCCUUACCACUACACAAUCCAUCGGAAAUACCAUCUGGAUUUUCGAACUCUAGAAACGUCUUCUAACGUUUCUACUUUAAUUCUCAUUACCACCCGAAUGGUUUAGAGAAUAGGUCCACCAUGUCCAUCUUCAUCUCGAGCCCCAACAUUGGCUCACUGUGACUGCUCGCUAGCACGAUCCAACUGUCUAUUCCACAAUAGACAAUAUAUUCUCUUCCUCCCUGCAUGCUAGGGUCAAAUCCAAGUUUCUAUUUCAUUCCUCUCGAAGUAAGAGGUCAACCAACAGACCUUUCCGAAUUCUAGGAUAACGACUACAACUCCCUUCCAAGUGUCACUUAACAUUCGAUUAACCACUUAAGCUCAAUAUCAGUCGCUUAUCGUUCAUUCUUCACUAAUCAAUUCGCGCAUCUUCCGCCCAAAUAUCACUUAACUUCGACCAUAAGAUUCAAUUUGAAGUCCAUAGCUUAGGACUGCGUAUAACUUUGACACAUUUUCUGUCGAAGUUUCCUUAUUUCAUAAUCGGCCUUGUUUCCAAUAUCUCUUACACUGGUGUACUAAUCAUAGCUUAGCAUAUAGAAAAUCUUUCUACCUACUUUUCCAUCAAAUAUAGGCGGAUUAAACCACAUAAACGCCGUCAGUCCUACUAACGAUUGCUUGUGCUCAGCCCUUGUUGCAGUCGAAUCAGAAUCAGACGGCCCAGAAACCACUGGAGGGAUAAUCACUGAAAAAGGGGGGGCACAAUCGCUGGCGGAUCAGGUAUAGGUGCAUCCUGACUCCCAGAUACUGGUGUUGUCGCCCGUUGCGACACUAGAUCCUAUAACCUCAUUAUGUUCUCUUCCUGCCUCUGCAUAGCUCCAGCUCCAAUGCGCUCACCGGAGCACGUAGCUCCAGAACUUCGCUAGAUCCAGUCUGCUCUGGCAUCCUAGAAGGUGAUGCCGGAGUGGAUCUCGUCGCACGUCGCGACAUUUCUCUUGAAAUGAACCCUUUACACUAGUAAAACAAUACCAAUCAGGCGAAAGCAAUCAAGUAUAUUUAUACUCAACUCUUAGCUUUAUGUUGUGGGCCCCCAACAUAACUCCUUAGUUGUAUAUAAAUAACACUUGGAUCAGCCCCUAAUUAACAUUAGAGACUUACUAACAACUAACCAAAUUUAUUUAGCUUUCGCUAUCAUUAGAUUCGCGCCACUCGCGUUCCUGGUUCCUAGGUUUCCAUUCCUAAGUCCCCUAGGUCAUCCUAGACUUUCACUAUCACUUGCUCUGAUACCACUCUAUCUGUCACGUCCCGAGCCUCGCCUAUUUGGUCGAUCCGGGCCCGUACACAGACGCCGAACGAACAGUACCUCCUCUGUUCGCCCAAGGCUCAACAACAACGGAUACAUGUAUAAAGAAAUUAAACAAUUCCCAGGAUCACAUUUCAAUAUACAUGGCUUGCACGAUGGCAAGCAACAACACAAGUGAUAGUACGUCUAACUAAACAUAUAAUCCACUGUAAUUUAAAACUUUACAUAACUGAAACAUUUAGUUAUUACAUGCUUUAUAUACAAUCAUUUACAUGUCUCUGUACAUCGAAAUAGAUAAUACAUGAACCCAAAAUGGUAUACCACUAGUACUCGGGUGUCCACUAGCUAGGCUGCUGGCUCUUGCCUCGAUCCUCGGCCACAAUACUCGUACUGGAACCUGUAUGGUUAGUGGUGUGUGAGAACUACAAGAAAGUUCCCAGUGGGUUCGGCUGCCGACUUCGCCGACUCACCCACUAGGUCUAUUCAGGCAUAUGUAGGCAAGAAAAGUAAGCAAAUAGUAACCAACUAUAACAUGUAACUACUACAAUGCCUGUACAAAGCUGAAAGAAGUAACAGAUAUGAAAACUGUAAAUAUGCAUGCAUGCUUUUCAUUAACUUUACCUAAUCUUUUGAUUAACCCUCUGGUUAACAGCUGGACAAGUACGUUAGUCCAUAAAUUUACCCAAUUCAGUGGUUAACCCUUUGGUUAACAAUAACUCACCAACGAAAUCCCUCACGGGCCCUAAGCUGCCUCCCGAUGGGACCGUCUGUCGGACAAGUACGUUAGUCCUGGGGCUAGUACGUUAGCCCAACAAGUGACUACUCCGGAGCUCACUGCCUGGGGGGAGCGACCACCACCAAGCUAAGAAAACAGACUAUGUGAGUAAGAUCUGAUCCCCUUUUAGAGGAUUCAACUGACAACAAUGUCACAAUUUAACUCUAACUAGUUCUUUAUACUAGUUUCAUAAUUGCAUUUCUCGAUGCUAACCAAAUCUCUAAUCAUGAUGUCACCAAGUUUACUAUUGUCUUAGUCCUUUACAGUUUCAUAAUUUCACUGUUUAUCUCACAAUGCUAUCCAAUUCUCUAGUUAGAAUGUCACCAAGUUUACUAUUGUCAAAGUCCAUGCAUUCAUAGGGUUCUAUGUCCACAAUCUAAGGUUCACAAAUUCUCAUUGUUGAUAGGAAUUCACAUUUUCACUCGCUCAAUGCCAAACACCCUAUAAUGCGUGACUACAAAUAUAAAUAUGCUCAACGAAGAAUUAUAGACAUAAAAGGUGAUUCAAAGAGUUCGGAUAGCACCACCCACCUGUAGUGGUGUCAAUCAACUAAAAUCCACGUCUCGGAAAGCGUCGAGACUAUCUCUCGCGACUCCAUGCAAUUAGGACUAGAACGGCCGCUACCGUAAUUAGCGCGUCGUCGACCUGUCGGAAAGUCAAAUUAGACUCUUGGGCACGUUUACUUUUCACUUAUAAAGGAUUAGAAAAGAUUAAACUAGAGUCAAUACUCAUAUUUUACAAAUUAGCAUUUCAAUGCUAUAUAAAACGGCAACUAUAGCCGAAAAACUUCUUUUGGCGAUAUCUUUGCGUAGGUUCGUCGGAUUGCCGAACCGACUUCGCCAACGCGUUUCUUUUACCCUCAAUUUGGUUUACACGCGGUCAAUUUCGCAUUAGGACUCUUAUUUUGCAAAAGUGCAUUGCCGGGGUCAGUUUUCAUUUAAACCCCGUUUUUAUAGAAACC
rnacentral:lncRNA from 1 species